AACGCGAAGAACCUUACCUGGGCUCGAACGGCUUCGGACCAUCCUUGGAAACAGGGACUUCCCGCAAGGGGCUGCUAUAUAGGUGCUGCAUGGCUGUCGUCAGCUCGUGUCGUGAGAUGUUGGGUUAAGUCCCGCAACGAGCGCAACCCUUAUCUCUAGUUGCCAUCAUUCAGUUGGGCACUCUAGCGAAACCGCCCCGGAUAACGGGGAGGAAGGUGGGGAUGACGUCAAGUCCUCAUGGCCUUUAUGUCCAGGGCUACACACGUGCUACAAUGGCCGGUACAAACCGCUGCAAACCCGCGAGGGGGAGCUAAUCGGAAAAAGCCGGCCUCAGUUCGGAUUGGAGUCUGCAACUCGACUCCAUGAAGCUGGAAUCGCUAGUAAUCGUGGAUCAGAACGCCACGGUGAAUACGUUCCCGGGCCUUGUACACACCGACGCAC
rnacentral:rRNA from 1 species